rnacentral:rRNA from 1 species
UACAGAGGUCUCAAGCGUUGUUCGGAUUCAUUGGGCGUAAAGGGUGCGUAGGCGGCGCGGUAAGUCGGGGUGUGAAAUCUCGGAGCUUAACUCCGAAACUGCAUUCGAUACUGCCGUGCUUGAGGACUGGAGAGGAGACUGGAAUUUACGGUGUAGCGGUGAAAUGCGUAGAUAUCGUAAGGAAGACCAGUGGCGAAGGCGGGUCUCUGGGACAGUUCCUGACGCUGAGGCACGAAGGCCCAGGGGAGCAAACGGGG